rnacentral:tRNA from 5 species
GCGGGUGUAGUUUAGUGGUAAAACCUCAGCCUUCCAAGCUGAUGAUGCGGGUUCGAUUCCCGCCACCCGCU